rnacentral:ncRNA from 1 species
AUUUUUGCCCAGUUCUAGGAAUGACAAAGUGAAGAAAUUCAACCAAACUCAAGUAAACAACGGGAGUAACUAUAACUCUCUUAAGGUAGCCAAAUGCCUUGUCAUCUAAUUAGUGACGUGCAUGAAUAGGU